AUGAACCUGUAUAGGAAUUUUGGGAAUCUUCUGGAGAGUUGGGUGACUGAAGGCCACCAGGAUUUAUACUUACAGCCUGGACCUGGUGUGGACAGAUUAGAUUCCAUUUAUAGGGACUCUGUCCCACUAUCUAAUAUAAAAUCAGAAUCUGAGGACUCCGGAUUUGAAACGGUUAGUACAACUAGUCCUUGUCAUUCUCACCAGUGUAGUGCUUUGACAUCUGAAGAAUCAAAGCCAGUUUUUGGCUCUACAGAGAAUGAGGUUCAACCUUCAUCCCCGUCUCCUUCUAUUUGCUCAUCCUCAUCCUCAAGUGUUGAUCUCAGCUCUGUGGCUCUAAAAACAACACAUCUGGAGGUGGAGCAAGUCUUGAGAAGGACCGAAUCAGGCUCAUGGAGAGGACCCCUGCACCAGGUUGAAAGGGGGACCGCUGGGCCACGGUAUCGCUCUAACACGGCCUCUUUUCCAACCAGCUUUCACUCAAACAGCUCCAGACCACAUCAUCGGUUUGCUCGUCCAAGGAGAACUCAUUCACAACCUCCAGAUUCCAAGAAAGCAGAACUGUACAGAAAAUACCUAAAGUCAGACCAACAUGGCCAACCAGCAGACAGCCAGCUGGAGCUUGCAGACAGUGAUCAUUACAGACUGGACAAGCUGUCUCCAGGGUUGCUGUACCUGGAGCAGGUGUGCAGGAUGCUGGAGAAUGUUGCAAAGCUACAGCAGCAAAACUACAGCCUGCAGAAAGAGGUGGAGAUCCUGAAGAGUCAGCAUGCAGAAAUAGAGCUUGGAAGCUUUCAUGUGGAGGAAAUAAGCUAUCCUGCCAGUCAAGGUUUACAGAUUCUGGGUCAUGAAGAUCCACCCAGCGAAUCGUCUCACCUAAAAGAACCCAUGGGUUUUCGUCACAGAUCAGUAUCUGACACCCAGGCAGCUGUCGGCCAUCACAGGAGAACAAGGUUUGUUCGAGACAAACCUAUUGUAGAUGUCUUAGUCGAGGAACCUGAUGGUAAAGAUCCUUUACCGGAAAAUGAGCACAAAAAGCCGAGUAAGAUCCAAAAGCUGAAAUUUGCAUCAUUUAGAAGACAGGAAACACAACAGUCUGACAGAGAAAGCAAAAGCUUUCAGCCUAAGAAGAAAACAAGAAUGCCAAGCUUUUUCAGUAGGAGUAGAAGUAUGACGACACGUCUCUAA
ensembl:lncRNA